rnacentral:rRNA from 1 species
AUUGAACGCUGGCGGCAGGCCUAACACAUGCAAGUCGAACGGUAACAGGAAGCAGCUUGCUGCUUCGCUGACGAGUGGCGGACGGGUGAGUAAUGUCUGGGAAACUGCCUGAUGGAGGGGGAUAACUACUGGAAACGGUAGCUAAUACCGCAUAACGUCGCAAGACCAAAGAGGGGGACCUUCGGGCCUCUUGCCAUCGGAUGUGCCCAGAUGGGAUUAGCUAGUAGGUGGGGUAACGGCUCACCUAGGCGACGAUCCCUAGCUGGUCUGAGAGGAUGACCAGCCACACUGGAACUGAGACACGGUCCAGACUCCUACGGGAGGCAGCAGUGGGGAAUAUUGCACAAUAGGCGCAAGCCUGAUGCAGCCAUGCCGCGUGUAUGAAGAAGGCCUUCGGGUUGUAAAGUACUUUCAGCGGGGAGGAAGGGAGUAAAGUUAAUACCUUUGCUCAUUGACGUUACCCGCAGAAGAAGCACCGGCUAACUCCGUG